rnacentral:rRNA from 1 species
UAACACAUGCAAGUCGAGGGGCAGCACGAAUAAGCUUGCUUAUUUGGUGGCGACCGGCGCACGGGUGCGUAACGCGUAUGCAACCUACCCUGUACUGAGGGAUAGCCCGGAGAAAUUCGGAUUAAUACCUCAUAGUAUUACGAUAUGGCAUCAUAUUGUAAUUAAAGGUUACGGUACAGGAUGGGCAUGCGUCCUAUUAGCUAGAUGGUACGGUAACGGCGUACCAUGGCUACGAUAGGUAGGGGGCCUGAGAGGGUGAUCCCCCACACUGGUACUGAGACACGGACCAGACUCCUACGGGAGGCAGCAGUGAGGAAUAUUGGUCAAUGGACGCAAGUCUGAACCAGCCAUGCCGCGUGCAGGAAGAAUGUCCUAUGGAUUGUAAACUGCUUUUAUUUGGGAAUAAACCUCCUUACGUGUAGGGAGCUGAAUGUACCAAAUGAAUAAGCACCGGCUAACUCCGUGCCAGCAGCCGCGGUAAUACGGAGGGUGCAAGCGUUAUCCGGAAUCAUUGGGUUUAAAGGGUCCGCAGGCGGAUUUGUAAGUCAGUGGUGAAAGCCUACAGCUUAACUGUAGAACUGCCAUUGAUACUGCAAGUCUUGAAUUCGGUCGAAGUGGGCGGAAUAUGUCAUGUAGCGG